rnacentral:rRNA from 1 species
GGGGAAUCUUCCGCAAUGGACGAAAGUCUGACGGAGCAACGCCGCGUGAGUGAUGACGGCCUUCGGGUUGUAAAGCUCUGUUAAUCGGGACGAAUGGUUCUUGUGCGAAUAGUGCGAGGAUUUGACGGUACCGGAAUAGAAAGCCACGGCUAACUACGUGCCAGCAGCCGCGGUAAUACGUAGGUGGUAAGCGUUGUCCGGAAUUAUUGGGCGUAAAGCGCGCGCAGGCGGAUUGGUCAGUCUGUCUUAAAAGUUCGGGGCUUAACCCCGUAAUGGGAUGGAAACUGCCAAUCUAGAGUAUCGGAGAGGAAAGUGGAAUUCCUAGUGUAGCGGUGAAAUGCGUAGAUAUUAGGAAGAACACCAGUGGCGAAGGCGACUUUCUGGACGAAAACUGACGCUGAGGCGCGAAAGCCAGGGGAGCGAACGGGAUUAGAUACCCCGGUAGUCCUGGCCGUAAACGAUGGGUACUAGGUGUAGGAGGUAUCGACCCCUUCUGUGCCGGAGUUAACGCAAUAAGUACCCCGCCUGGGGAGUACGACCGCAAGGUUG